rnacentral:tRNA from 1 species
AGGCCCCUAGCUCAGUGGCAGAGCGGCGGUCUCCAAAACCGCAGACGGGAGUUCGAUUCUCUCGGGGCCUG